GAGUUUGAUCCGGGCUCAGAUUGAACGCUGGCGGCAGGCUUAACACAUGCAAGUCGAACGGUAGCAGGAGAAAGCUUGCUUUCUUGCUGACGAGUGGCGGACGGGUGAGUAAUGCUUGGGAAUCUGGCUUAUGGAGGGGGAUAACUACGGGAAACUGUAGCUAAUACCGCGUAGUGUCGAGAGACGAAAGUGCGGGACCGUAAGGCCGCAUGCCAUGAGAUGAGCCCAAGUGGGAUUAGGUAGUUGGUGGGGUAAAGGCCUACCAAGCCUGCGAUCUCUAGCUGGUCUGAGAGGAUGGCCAGCCACACUGGAACUGAGACACGGUCCAGACUCCUACGGGAGGCAGCAGUGGGGAAUAUUGCGCAAUGGGGGGAACCCUGACGCAGCCAUGCCGCGUGAAUGAAGAAGGCCUUCGGGUUGUAAAGUUCUUUCGGUAUUGAGGAAGGGAUGUGUGCUAAUAGUACAUAUCAUUGACGUUAAAUACAGAAGAAGCACCGGCUAACUCCGUGCCAGCAGCCGCGGUAAUACGGAGGGUGCGAGCGUUAAUCGGAAUAACUGGGCGUAAAGGGCACGCAGGCGGUUAUUUAAGUGAGGUGUGAAAGCCCCGGGCUUAACCUGGGAAUUGCAUUUCAGACUGGGUAACUAGAGUACUUUAGGGAGGGGUAGAAUUCCACGUGUAGCGGUGAAAUGCGUAGAGAUGUGGAGGAAUACCGAAGGCGAAGGCAGCCCCUUGGGAAUGUACUGACGCUCAUGUGCGAAAGCGUGGGGAGCAAACAGGAUUAGAUACCCUGGUAGUCCACGCUGUAAACGCUGUCGAUUUGGGGAUUGAGCUUUAAGCUUGGUGCCCGUAGCUAACGUGAUAAAUCGACCGCCUGGGGAGUACGGCCGCAAGGUUAAAAACUCAAAAUGAAUUGACGGGGGCCCGCACAAGCGGUGGAGCAUGUGGUUUAAUUCGAUGCAACGCGAAGAACCUUACCUACUCUUGACAUCCAUGGAAUCCUGUAGAGAUACGGGAGUGCCUUCGGGAACCAUGAGACAGGUGCUGCAUGGCUGUCGUCAGCUCGUGUUGUGAAAUGUUGGGUUAAGUCCCGCAACGAGCGCAACCCUUAUCCUUUGUUGCCAGCGAUUUGGUCGGGAACUCGAAGGAGACUGCCAGUGAUAAACUGAGGAAAGUGGGGGAGAAGGUAAAUUCUUCAGGGCCCUUAGGAGUAGGGUUACACACGGGUUAAAAGGGGGUAUACGAAGGGUGGGAAAAUUGGAGAAGGAAGGAAUUUUCAGAAAGUAGGUCUAGUUCGGGAUUGAGUUCUGAAACUGGAUUCCAGAAGUUGGGAUCGGCUGUUAUUGGGGAUUCAAAAUGUGGCGGUGAUACGUUCCCGGGCCCUUCACGACCGCCC
rnacentral:rRNA from 1 species